AAAAACCUUUAACUCUGCCUCUCCCAUUUCUUGCUUUCGCAGAUUCACGUUUGAAUUCAAAAUGGUGCAUUCUAAGUUUGAGUUAAUAACAAAAUCUUGUCAGUGUCUCGUCAGUGUCAGUUCAGAAGAUAGCUCCAUGCAGAACAAGAAUUCUCUGGUACUGGUCUCUUAGCCUGUAAGGCUUGUGCAUGAUGUAUAUGAGAGCGAUUUCCAGCAGAGAGAAGCUUAUCACAGAUCCACCUAAAAGGUAAGUCUAUUUUUUCAGUUUUUAGUUCACAUGCAGAACAGCUGCCUGUAGAACAGCUGCCCGCAGAACAGGAAAGAAAUUUGGUUUAGGGAUUGAUUAUACAUGUCUUACCCAUACAGUAAGUCAGAAAUAAGCAUGAUGAACUUCAGAUAAACCCAGAAUGUAUAAAUGGCAAGAACAGCAAUACUAGAAUAUUUACCUCCUAAUUUUGUGCUACACUACAUUUUUAGUGCAUUUUUUUCUUCCUAAGUUGUUCAGGGCAAAGGAGAAGAGCUUGAGUAAAGUCCAGGUUUUUUAGUCUCUCCCAGAUCUGUAGUAUUCAUAUCCAUGAUUUGGGCAAGAUAAUUUACUGAAUUACAAAUCUGACAGGCAAUGCAUGCAAAAGAAUGAAUCAGUACUAUCAGCAUUCCUCGUGUUUGCUAAGGAAAACAAGGUUAACAAAUGCUAAUGAAUUUUAAGAAAAAAACAAAAGCAGAAGGAAAUGAUGAAGAAUUAAGAAAGGCAAGGAAAAAGAAGAGAGGAG
rnacentral:lncRNA from 1 species